rnacentral:rRNA from 1 species
GAUGACGAGUGGCGGACGGGUGAGUAAUGCUUGGGAACUUGCCUUUAGGAGGGGGAUAACAGUUGGAAACGACUGCUAAUACCGCAUAAUGUCUACGGACCAAAGGGGGCUUCGGCUCUNACCUAAAGAGAGGCCCAAGUGAGAUUAGCUAGUUGGUAAGGUAAAGGCUUACCAAGGCGACGAUCUCUAGCUGUUCUGAGAGGAAGAUCAGCCACACUGGGACUGAGACACGGCCCAGACUCCUACGGGAGGCAGCAGUGGGGAAUAUUGCACAAUGGGGGAAACCCUGAUGCAGCCAUGCCGCGUGUGUGAAGAAGGCCUUCGGGUUGUAAAGCACUUUCAGUUGUGAGGAAAGGUUGGUAGUUAAUACCUGCCAGCUGUGACGUUAACAACAGAAGAAGCACCGGCUAACUCCGUGCCAGCAGCCGCGGUAAUACGGAGGGUGCGAGCGUUAAUCGGAAUUACUGGGCGUAAAGCGCACGCAGGCGGUUUGUUAAGCUAGAUGUGAAAGCCCCGGGCUCAACCUGGGAUGGUCAUUUAGAACUGGCAGACUAGAGUCUUGGAGAGGGGAGUGGAAUUCCAGGUGUAGCGGUGAAAUGCGUAGAUAUCUGGAGGAACAUCAGUGGCGAAGGCGGCUCCCUGGCCAAAGACUGACGCUCAUGUGCGAAAGUGUGGGUAGCGAACAGGAUUAGAUACCCUGGUAGUCCACACCGUAAACGCUGUCUACUAGCUGUUUGUGAAUUUAAUUCGUGAGUAGCGAAGCUAACGCGAUAAGUAGACCGCCUGGGGAGUACGGCCGCAAGGUUAAAACUCAAAUGAAUUGACGGGGGCCCGCACAAGCGGUGGAGCAUGUGGUUUAAUUCGAUGCAACGCGAA